rnacentral:rRNA from 1 species
CCUACGGGGGGCAGCAGUGGGGAAUAUUGCACAAUGGGGGGAACCCUGAUGCAGCGACGCCGCGUGAGUGAAGAAGUAUCUCGGUAUGUAAAGCUCUAUCAGCAGGGAAGAAGAAAUGACGGUACCUGAGUAAGAAGCCCCGGCUAACUACGUGCCAGCAGCCGCGGUAAUACGGAGGGGGCAAGCGUUAUCCGGAAUUACUGGGUGUAAAGGGAGCGUAGACGGUGAUGUAAGUCUGGAGUGAAAGGCGGGGGCCCAACCCCCGGACUGCUCUGGAAACUAUGUGACUGGAGUGCAGGAGAGGUGAGCGGAAUGCCUAGUGUAGCGGUGAAAUGCGUAGAUAUUAGGAGGAACACCAGUGGCGAAGGCAGCCUUCCGGCGCCCUACUGACGCUGAGGCACGAAAGUGCGGGGAUCGAACAGGAUUAGAUACCCUGGUAGUC